UUUUUGAAAUCCAAGAUGGCCGCCGCACAAAAUUAUGAUUUCAGCAAUAUGGAUAUCGUGUCCGAGGUUCUCGAGGGUGCAGAUAACGAUUUUGUGAUCAUUUUUGAAAUCCAAGAUGGCCGCCGCACAAAAUUAUGAUUUCAGCAAUAUGGAUAUCGUGUCCGAGGUUCCCGAGGGUGCAGAUAACGAUUUUGUGAUCAUUUUUGAAAUCCAAGAUGGCCGCCGCACAAAAUUAUGAUUUCAGCAAUAUGGAUAUCGUGUCCGAGGUUCUCGAGGGUGCAGAUAACGAUUUUGUGAUCAUUUUUGAAAUCCAAGAUGGCCGCCGCACAAAAUUAUGAUUUCAGCAAUAUGGAUAUCGUGUCCGAGGUUCUCGAGGGUGCAGAUAACGAUUUUGUGAUCAUUUUUGAAAUCCAAGAUGGCCGCCGCACAAAAUUAUGAUUUCAGCAAUAUGGAUAUCGUGUCCGAGGUUCUCGAGGGUGCAGAUAACGAUUUUGUGAUCAUUUUUGAAAUCCAAGAUGGCCGCCGCACAAAAUUAUGAUUUCAGCAAUAUGGAUAUCGUGUCCGAGGUUCUCGAGGGUGCAGAUAACGAUUUUGUGAUCAUUUUUGAAAUCCAAGAUGGCCGCCGCACAAAAUUAUGAUUUCAGCAAUAUGGAUAUCGUGUCCGAGGUUCUCGAGGGUGCA